ensembl:lncRNA
ACAUGAAUAGGUGAUGGGAACCAGUCCAUUAGAGUUUCUCUUGUAAUUCUACCGAGAUAUUCAACUGGUAAGCAAUAAUAUGUUCUUUUCAAAGUCCUUGCAUAACUUUCUUUAUACAGUACAUACAUUAAGAAGCAAUUUCAUAUGUUGGGUGGGAAAGGUGGUCCUCCAGAUGUUGUUGGACUGCAGCUCUCAUAAGCCAUAGGCUGCCUAGGGUUGAUGGGAGAAGGAUUAAUGGAGUUGUGGUCCAACAGCACCUGGAGAGUCAUAGAUUUCCCCAUCCCAGUGACAUAAACUGGGGAUGCAAAGAAAAACCAGGUAGCAAAGAAAAACUGUUUAGGAGAAAAAAAAAUUCUGGCUGUACUGGUGGAAUUUUAUAGUGUGGCUUCUCAUUUUGCAGCUGGGACAUAAAACAUGGCUGGUAGUGAUGAUCUCUUAAAGAAUCUGCAGAAUAAUUUGCACAGACUGAACAACCUCCGAUCUAAAUUUCUUGCACCGACAAAGCAUCCCUUGUCUGCAGCUGCCAAGUCAUUGCUUUGUGAUCAGCAGCAACUGCCAGGAGAAAAUAUGAACAUCCAGCCAUUUGCUCCUAGAAAGAACAUCCGUCACCGUAACCCAUACUGGCCUGAUGAGGAAAUCCGGACCUUCAUUGAAAUAUGGGGUGAUGACCAAGUCCAAGCCUCACUGGCUACCAAUUUUCGCAAUGAGGCCCAGUACGAGUGGAUAUCGGAUCGGAUGAGGGAAUAUGGCUAUGACCGGGAUAUGAAGCAGUGCCGGUUGCGUGCUAAGGAACUUCGUCGAGGAUAUAAGGCGAUUGUUUGUGGAAACAACUCCUCUGUUAGUGGUCAACGGGCCCUGCCAUUCUAUGACUCCUUGAACAGUUUUCUAUGCAUGCACAAGGGCCUUGUGGUGUCCAAAGUGUCGCUCUCUAUAGAUCGGAGGAAUCGAGAGGCACAAAAGCUGGGCCUGGAGCAGGAGAAGAAUGAAAAGCUAAGUGUGGUCCUUGUUUCUGAUGAUGAUGAAGCAUCCAUUCCAGAGCCCACUGAUGACUCCAAUGGCUAUUUUCAAGACACACAAAUGGAUUCCGACCCAGUGAAUGCACAUUCCCCAAGUGAUGAAUGGGAACAGCAUGGAGAAGAUGGCAUUCUGGCAGGUGAUGUGGCUUCACCCAGCUUUUCCAAUGCCAGAGGGGAGAGCCAUUCUGUCCAUUUAGGCCCAUCCAGCUCCUUUCCAAGGGCAUCCCUAGCUGAUGUAGACAGAGUGAGCAACCACUGGAACAGAAAACAGAGGAAGCAAACUGAAGCUGCCUCGGACCUUGUGGAUGCCAUCUCGCAAGUGGGUGACAGACUCAUAAAUGCUCUGUCUGAUCUGCACUCAAAGCACAGGGAGACAGCCGAGGUUGCACAGACCAGGGAAAAUAAUGCUCGCAAAGAAGAGUUUGCCAUCCUCGCAAGCCACGUGGACCAGGCUACAAAAAAUGUGGACAAACUCAUAACUGUGAUGGAGACCUCUACCAGACAGAUUGCAGAUGCUAUGGACAGGCAAACAGCUGCCUUGGAGAAUCUGGCCCGCUUGUUUGCUUCCAGGGCUCCGGCUCUUUCAGUGCCCUUAGACUCCCAAGGGCAACCUAUGUGUUCAUCUCCAGGUCCUUCUGUACCACCUCCACCAUCACCUCCAGCAGGGCUGCACAAUGCCCUGAACACUUUGGUGGCAGGCAACACUGGUGAUCCCAAAGGACCGACAUUGCCAGCUUCCUGCGAGGCUGAGGAAUGUCAGCCAGAGGUGAAGAAAAUAAAAAUGGAAGACUAG